rnacentral:scRNA from 1 species
GCAAGGGCUGUGCCGUCCGUAACGUUGUCCGGUUUG